AUAACUAAAACUAACGAUCAGAUGGCAUUUCCUCGUACAAGCAUGACUUUCAGGUGAAAAGUCGACCAUGUUAGACCUCGUGUCCCAAAUGUGGUAAAGGUUGAAAACAAAUCUCUCGUGUUUUCUCUUAUUGCGUUCCACCUCCCGCUGUGAGAGGUUAUUGCUGUUGUGGACGUACUAGUGUAGCUCAACAAUUAAGCUUCAAAUGGCCAGUUUGUUUUUGCAGCUGAAGAGCUGAGAUCAUGGCCUUCACAAUGUGCUCUUGUUUAUUUUUAAUACUGCAGUUUGAGCCAGCGUGGACGCAGAUACAGCACCAUCUGCUUAUCUCAAUGACCCGAACCUCAGCCUGUUAAUGUCUGGAGUCGCUCCAAACCUGCAGGGGAGGAUAUAUGUUAAGGGCAUAAAAGAAAAGAUGCAGAAUAUUGCAAUGGAAAGUCCGACAUAGUUUAUAAAUAUGAGGCGCAUUCCAGGCCAUAUUGGAAGCAUUUCCUGAGAUUGCAGGAAGAAUCUCUAUAUAUACUGCAAAAAAAUGAUUUUCUUCCUCAGUGUUUUUGUCUUGUUUUCCAGCACAAAUAUCUAAACAUUCUUAAAUCAACAUACAUUAACUUGAGAAGAGAAAUGACUGAAGAUAUUGUUUUGUUUUCUGAAAAAUGUUUGCCAGUGGGGUCAGAUAUUUGUUUAUGCUGUAAGAUUUCAUUUCAUCUUCAGUCAUUUUGCUUCUCCAGUAAAUGUAUCUCGAUUUAAGAAUGUUUAGAUAUUUGUACUGGAAAACAAGACAGAAACACUGAGGAAGAAACCUUUUUUUUUUGCUGUCUAGAUGAACUUUAGACAGUUUCCAGCUUCCUUCUGAUCCAGUAAAACACAAGCAUUCCAACAUUGUUUUGGAAAAAUCUGUUCUGGCACACGGACAAACCUUGGUCAGUGCCAUUCUGAAGGCAGUGCCAGCUCACUUUACCACAACAGAAGGAUCUUUCCCAGCAUGCUGUAGAUCUUUCAGAGACACACUGUACCCUAGUGAACGUACUCCAUCAAGGUCGGUAACAGGUCAGAUCAUAAUGAAUGUGCCUCUUCAUCACCAGUGUCCACACAUCUAAACACAAGUGAAGUGUUAUUCUCAGACAGAGGUGUUUUUAGGUGGAGUCUUGCUCUUAUCUGCGUGAAGUUCAACGCCCUCAGUAAAAAUGUGUGGCAUCUGUAUGAGGAUGAGCUUGAAAGUCAGGAACAUCUGGUUAAAAUACUGGAUUUUACUUUUUGUAAACGUGCAUCCACUAAAUCCAAAAAAUAGCAUGUUUUCCCCCCAUCAUUUGUUGAUGCUCAUCUCAGGUAAUGGUAGUUCAAUCAUGACAACUGUUGGAAUAGUUUUAGCAUGUUUUUAAAUAUGUCAAUGUAUUUGGUCUUGUCUUGGGCUAGAUCUGCUGCUGCUGCAGAGCAAGUGUGGACUUUCUACUGCUAACAGAUACACAGACGCACUGCUGUGAGUGUGUAAGAUAUGCUGCUGCUGCUGCUGCAUAAAUAGCAGAUCUAGGCAGGUGGAGCUGGGGAGGAGGAGGAGUUCAGAGGAACUCUAUGACUCUAUGAAUGAUGAACAAGCAUCUCAUUGGCUGCAGGAUCGGCAGAAGCCAAUCAGCUUACACCAUGCGGGUGUCCUUGGGUGUGUGUGAGAACUCUAGCCGAAUACCUGGCAGCAGCUCAAGCAGGAUGAAUUACCGGCUAAGCGUCACUAUUCAGCACUCGCCUUUCAUUCCUGUUUGGUGGUCAUGACUGCUCGGCCUCAGCACAGAUUCGGUGAAUAGUAGCACAUACUUACACUCACAGCCUGGUCCAGCGAUCAGUCAAAAGGAUAGCCGAGGUCACUGAAGGACUAUUGAGAAAAAGAGCACAUAAUAACUGCCACCAUGCUGGGAACCCUUUAAAGAGGCCUAUUCUUGUACAUGAGAAACCUUCUCCGACUCCAGAUUAUUGAUUCCCUCGUGCUUAUGUUGAGAACGGAGACUUGAGCAACACACCUGUGACUCAAGAGGCUUGUGCUGUUUUAGCUUUGUAUUUUAGUUUUAGAUUUUUUUAGCUUUAUUGAAACAUUAAGAUGAGUCCCACUAUUUUUUAUGCAGUAAGUUUUAGAUGAACAUGAACUAUGAUUUGCCUCCAGUUACACUGAAAACAAAAUACUUUUUCUCACUCAGAAAUUGCAAGUAAAUUUCACAAAUAAUUAUAAAAAAAAAAGGCAAGUAACUCACUGAAUUAAACAUGAUAUUACGGGGGAGGGGCAUGCACAUUCAACAGAGCACCUGAUUGGACAAACAUCUGGCCACGCCCCUGAGUGCAAGACGAGUCAUCAGUGUUUUUGUUCCUUUUUCCCGGACGAGAAAACUUUAAAUUGUAUGCCUUCUUUUAAAUGUGAAUUUUGUCAACAUUUAUAACUACAUUAACAUAUAGAUGACCUUAGAUUAUACACAAUAACAUCAUGAUUUUCUGUAAAGCUGCUUUAAAAGAAUGAAGGACGAGCACACAGAA